UCAAUGGCGAGACAGUGCCUGGGGAACAUCAGAUCAUUCAGUUUCCCAGCCAAUCAUGGUGCAGAGAAGACCUGGUCAGAGUUUCCAUGUGAACAGUGAGGUCAAUUCUGUACUGUCCCCACGAUCGGAGAGUGGGGGACUAGGCGUUAGCAUGGUGGAGUAUGUGUUGAGCUCAUCCCCGGGCGAUUCCUGUCUAAGAAAAGGAGGAUUUGGCCCAAGGGAUGCAGACAGUGAUGAAAACGACAAAGGUGAAAAGAAGAACAAGGGUACGUUUGAU